rnacentral:misc_RNA from 1 species
UUGUCCGGAAUGACGUGCCAGACGUAUCAGCCCUUCGCCGAAAAAUCCCUCCACACCAGUCCAGCGGCCGCAAUGUCCGACAGCGCGUUGCCGACCGCCUUGAACACGGUGAUCUCGCUAUCGCUGGUCCUGCCCUUGCGCUCGCCCUUGCACAGCUCAUUGAGCGAACCGCGAAUAUCAUCUGGCGCAAUCACACCGUCGCGGAUCGGGCCGAGCAGCUCGCCGCUUUCCUUCAGCGCAUCGUAGGUAUCGAGCCAGAUGCGCCA